AGGCUUAACACAUGCAAGUCGAGCGCCCCGCAAGGGGAGCGGCAGACGGGUGAGUAACGCGUGGGAACGUACCCUUUACUACGGAAUAACGCAGGGAAACUUGUGCUAAUACCGUAUGUGCCCUUCGGGGGAAAGAUUUAUCGGUAAAGGAUCGGCCCGCGUUGGAUUAGCUAGUUGGUGGGGUAAAGGCCUACCAAGGCGACGAUCCAUAGCUGGUCUGAGAGGAUGAUCAGCCACAUUGGGACUGAGACACGGCCCAAACUCCUACGGGAGGCAGCAGUGGGGAAUAUUGGACAAUGGGCGCAAGCCUGAUCCAGCCAUGCCGCGUGAGUGAUGAAGGCCCUAGGGUUGUAAAGCUCUUUCACCGGAGAAGAUAAUGACGGUAUCCGGAGAAGAAGCCCCGGCUAACUUCGUGCCAGCAGCCGCGGUAAUACGAAGGGGGCUAGCGUUGUUCGGAAUUACUGGGCGUAAAGCGCACGUAGGCGGAUCGAUCAGUCAGGGGUG
rnacentral:rRNA from 1 species